rnacentral:rRNA from 1 species
UACAGAGGGGGCAAGCGUUGUUCGGAAUUACUGGGCGUAAAGGGCGCGUAGGCGGCCUUCUAAGUCGAACGUGAAAUCCCCGGGCUCAACCCGGGAACUGCGUCCGAUACUGGAAGGCUUGAAUCCGGGAGAGGGAUGCGGAAUUCCAGGUGUAGCGGUGAAAUGCGUAGGUAUCUGGAGGAACACCGGUGGCGAAGGCGGAUCUCUGGGCCUUACCUGACGCUCAGGUGCGAAAGCUAGGGGAGCGAACAGG